GAUGAACGCUGGCGGCGUGCUUAAUACAUGCAAGUCGAACGAAGACAGUAGCAAUAUUGUCUGAGUGGCGAACGGGUGAGUAACGCGUUGGUGACCUGCCCCGAAGAGAGGGAUAACAGUCCGAAAGGAUUGCUAAUACCCCAUGUGGUCGUUUGGAUUAGAUGCCUUAUGACUAAACGGAUUUAUUCGCUUCGGGAGGGGCCUGCGUCCCAUCAGCUAGUUGGUAAGGUAAUGGCUUACCAAGGCUAUGACGGGUAGGGGACCUGAGAGGGUGGCCCCCCACAAUGGAACUGAAACACGGUCCAUACACCUACGGGUGGCAGCAGUAGGGAAUAUUGGUUAAUCUGCGAAAGCGGGAACCAGCAACGCCGCGUGCACGAUGACGGCCUUCGGGUUGUAAAGUGCUUUUUGAAAGGAUGAGGAAGGACAGUACUUUCAGAAUAAGCUUCGGCUAACUACGUG
rnacentral:rRNA from 1 species